GACCUCGAAUCAGGUAGGAAUACCCGCUGAACUUAAGCAUAUCAUAGGCGGAGAGAAA
rnacentral:rRNA from 1 species